UCCUGCCGGACCUGACUGCUAUCGGAUUGAUACUAAGCCAUGCGAGUCUUUGUAGUAAUACAAGGCAGACGGCUCAGUAACACGUAGUCAACCUACCCUAUGGACAAGAAUAAUCUCGGGAAACUGGGCAUAAUUCUUGAUAGAUCAUAAUGCCUGGAAUGGUUUAUGGUUAAAAUGAUUCGUCGCCAUAGGAUGGGACUGCGGCCUAUCAGCUUGUUGGUGAGGUAAUGGCCCACCAAGGCGAUUAUAGGUACGGGCUCUGAGAGGAGAAGCCCGGAGAUGGGUACUGAGACACGGACCCAGGCCCUAUGGGGCGCAGCAGGCGAGAAAACUUUGCAAUGUGCGAAAGCACGACAAGGUUAAUCCGAGUGAUUUCUGCUAAAGAAAUCUUUUGCCAGUCAUAAAACCACUGGUGAAUAAGGGGUGGGCAAGUUCUGGUGUCAGCCGCCGCGGUAAAACCAGCACCUCAAGUGGUCAGGAUGAUUAUUGGGCCUAAAGCAUCCGUAGCCGGCUUUGUAAGUUUUCGGUUAAAUCCAUGUGCUCAACGCAUGGGCUGCCGAAAAUACUGCAUGGCUAGGGAGUGGGAGAGGUAGACGGUACUCAGUAGGAAGGGGUAAAAUCCUUUGAUCUAUUGAUGACCACCUGUGGCGAAGGCGGUCUACCAGAACACGUUCGACGGUGAGGGAUGAAAGCUGGGGGAGCAAACCGGAUUAGAUACCCGGGUAGUCCCAGCUGUAAACGAUGCAGACUCGAUGAUGCAUUGGCAUAAUAGCCAGUGCAGUG
rnacentral:rRNA from 1 species